UACGUAGGUGGCAAGCGUUUGUCCGGAAUUAUUGGGCGUAAAGCGCGCGCAGGCGGUCCUUUAAGUCUGAUGUGAAAGCCCACGGCUCAACCGUGGAGGGUCAUUGGAAACUGGGGGGACUUGAGUGCAGGAGAGAAGAGUGGAAUUCCACGUGUAGCGGUGAAAUGCGUAGAGAUGUGGAGGAACACCAGUGGCGAAGGCGACUCUUUGGCCUGUAACUGAC
rnacentral:rRNA from 1 species